AGUCACGGCCGUACCACCGUGAACGCACCCGAUCUCAUCUGAUCUCAGAAGCUAAGCUGGGUCCGGACUGGUUAGUACUUGGAUGGGAGACGAUGCGGAGCCUUGAGAGCUUGUGUCUU
rnacentral:rRNA from 1 species